GUUUUUGGUGGUCACCAUGAUGUUCUUGGUGGUCCCCAAGCCCACAAUGAUGUUUUUGGUGCCCACAAUGAUGGUUUUGGUGUCCUCAAGCCCCAUGAAUGAUGGUUUUGGUGGUCACCAUGGUGUUUUUGGUGGCCACCAUGGUGUUUUUGGUGGUCCCCAAGCCCCCCGAGGUCAGUUGAGGGUGCCGCGGCAGCUCUCGGUGCGACACAGGCAGGGGAUCUUGGUGUCCCCAAAGCCCACCAUGAUGUUCUUGGUGCCCACCAUGAUGUUUUUGAUGGCCACCAUGAUGUUCUUGGUGGUUCCCAAGCCCACAAUGAUGUUUUUGGUGGUCACCAAACCCCAUGAUGAUGUUUUUGGUGGUCACCAAGCCCCACCAUGAUGUUCUUGGUGGUCCCCAAACCCCACCAUGAUGUCCUCAAACCCCACCAUGAUGUUCUUGGUGCCCACAAUGAUGUUCUUGGUGGUCACCAAACCCCACCAUGAUGUUCUUGGUGGUCACCAAAGCCCACCAUGAUGUUUUUGGUGGUCACCAUGAUGUUCUUGGUGGUCACCAAAGCCCACCAUGAUGUUCUUGG